UUUUGCCAAUAAAAUAUUGCAACCUUUAUUUAAAAUAAAACACAAAUUGGCAAGCCUUGUGAGACAACAGGCAGACAGCAUUCCCCUUUCAGGGCCUCAUUUAUUUACAUCAAGUUUAACACUGUUAGCAGUUCACAGUCAGACAACAAGGUGAGAGAAUUAAAUUAGAAAAACAAACACCGGAAAAUAUAUUACAAUAACAAUUAAGAACAAAUACCCGACAACACUGGUAGUGUGACCCAUGAUUGAUGUGUUUUCAAUUAAAUCCCACUCUGUCUGUCCCUUAGCCCUCCAGACCUCCCCCUCUGUGCACCCACCGCGCACACACCUGCAGAGCGUGACCUUUGGUAUAAACGUUAAACAAGUUUUAAAGAAUCUGAAUCAUAUGUUUUAGGACAAAGUUCUGUCAACCACCAUGAAACAUUCAAACUUAUUUUUGCCAAGCGAGCAUAAAAACUGGGGUUUCUCCACUGAUAGUCAUUACAGAAUCAGACUGCAAAGAAGGAAAAGUGUGGGGUCUACCCAGGAGAUGGAGUUCUGAGCAUGCGUUAACAGCUCAGCCAGCCUGUUCAUGGCAAACACACCAACCAGGGCACAGCCUCCAUUCACCACAGGGAAAGAUCUGAUUAACUCCUCCUUCACUCACUCCCCUUUCUUAGUGAGCACAAGAACAGUGUAUGUACAUAAGGUGGACAUAAUGUGUACCCUCUAGAUCUGAGACGUGAGAGUUUUCAAACAUAUGCCCUAAAGAACUGUAAGAUGAGUACCUCAUUGUCCUUUUUAAUUUCUGAAUACUAGUUUCUCUGAAGGACAAUCAGCCUAAUCAAGGUGAUUUCUCAAGAUCUCAGAAAAUUUCUCUCAUAAUGGAGUCCCAAGAACAGUGGCCACAGUGAAAAACGGCUUGUCAAAAUGGAGGAAGACUGGUUUAUCUGGUCCUCAUCUACCAGAAGCAUCUGUCUCUUGGCAUUCUUGCCACUCACGACACAUGGAGCAAAGAAGGAGAAGCGGGAAGGUCCAGUUAGAGCGUCCUUCCCCAGCUGAGCGAGUGGGAUGGAGAAUGGUGCAGCAUCUGCAAACCAGCACCCCAUGUGGGGAGAACGUUGCACGUGUGGCACUCUUGCUGGGGGCCUCUGAGCCACUGCCACCCAUAAAGCUCAUUUCUACUCCAUUCUACAGAGCUCAGUUCUAGCUCCGUAAUCGUGCAACAUCAACCCAGCCGACAAGUCUUUCCCUCUGCAAGACGCACGAACCCAUCUUUGAGGGUACAGCCCUCCAGGAGUGACCUCUCCCACUCCACAUCGGCCUAGAAUCAAGACGAGCUGCCUAGGCCUCCUCACCUGGGGACAAGCAUGGGAUCUUCUUCCCCCCGAUGAUCACGGGGUGAAGCCUUCCCUAAUCUCCUGUCCUUUGGCUCUGGGAUACUGAGUCAGAAAUAAGGGAACUAUUGCCUUGCUCACAUGUUAUCUCAACGUAGAACAUACACCUUUUCACGCAGCAGCCCCAGAGCAGAAACUUGUCCUUUUGGACACCAUGGUAAACUUCACAGAAGACAGGCUGGAGCUCAGACCGUCACCAGGGUAGGUGCUCUGCAGCAGAGUGCAGCCCACUCCAAGGGCCUGAAAGCCACCCAGCUUCCCUGGUGACACAGGAGGGCAGGGACGGCAGUGACCUUCUGGCUGGAACAGAGCUGUAACAGUAAUUGUUACUCCAGGCACUACUGACUUGUCAAAAAAAAAGCAAGCCUUGCAUUGGGUUUUUUAAAGCCUGUAGUUGGAAAACUGGAACUCUAUCCAAAGGAUAUAAAUAUCCUGACUGUUAAGAGUGGGACAAGUUUUAGAAUGAGCCCAAGGCCUCUCCUACAGAGGCUGCAGCUAGCAGCAAUUUCCCUGGGUUGUGACAUGGAAGGUACAGGUGCCUUUGCCUGCCGUUGUCAUAAAGGUAAAGGCUCCCUGGGAGCUGCCUUUUUCUGUCUGUCUCCUGCUCCCACAUAUCCCAUACUGAAGCAGGCAUUCACAAAAGAACUGAGCUACUGGCUGGAUAGAAGCUAAGACAGAGAUACAGACAGCUGGAAUCUAUUAACAUGUAAGAAGAAACUUUCGUGCAGAGACCCACCUACAUAAAGAAGACUCGUCAUAACAGAUUAAAGCUUAGGGCACAGAGACAGACCCCAAAUCCAGGUGGUACAAGUUAAUGCAAGCAAGAUGAUGAAACCCCCAAAUCAUCAAGAACAAAAACACAGACAACCCUGUCAGCCCAAUGUGCCUCCUGUAGGGGCAGAGCCUGAUAGUAACGAUGACAUCAGUAGCAAAAAUGGAAGGAAGUGGGAGAGGUCAGAAGGCAGGGUAGCCAUAACUCAAAAGUGGCCACCGAUGCAAUUUACUCUUGAGCAUUUUAUAAUCUAAUAGGUGAGUUAUGUUCAGCUACUACUCUUAGAAAAAAAUAAACAUGGACAAUGAAUGUCAAGCUCAUUUAUAACUGGUAGGAAAUCCUAGGAAAGUAAUUCCCAAAGUGCACCAGUUCUACGGCCAUGCAAUCUCCCCCUCCACCCCCCAAAAAACAACAAAACCACACAGGACAUAGGUUUAAAAAGACACUGUCAACAUCAACAGGCAAUAAGUCUGCUCCCACCAUAUUUAGAAUCCUAAAUGGCUGCACAUGUAGCGGAUAAGUCAAGGGUAAGAGGGCCUCAUUCCUCUUGAGUCAAGGUCCCUGGAAGAGCUGCUUUGUUCUGGAGUGAGUACACAUUCCUACUUUUUGAAGAUUAUAAUUAAACCAGAAGUUGGUCCCUACUUUUCUGAAGUUAUCCAACAUUGAGCUACAAUUUUAGCAAAAUGUUUACUAUACCUGCACAUAUUCCUUUAGCAGGUUCAUAUUUAUAAAUGUGAUAAAUUACACAGGUGAUUGUUCAUAUAUCUGCAUUUUCAGGUCCCCCACAGGUAAAAGCCUAUAAGUCAAUCAGCAUCUAAUCAACUGUUUUACCUUCUAAAUAGACAUUAAUAAUACUUUAUAGUUAUAUUACAUUUGAUACUUUUCUCAAAGUGCUUUCAUAUACAUUGUUUCAUAGUCACUAAAAUGAUAUGGAAUAAAGUUUUUUUUUUAAGAAGAAGGAAUGUAGGACUAGGUUUUUUAAAAACAAGUUGGUAUUUCUUCAUUACAAAGUGCGGACUGCCGUGUUGCUGAGGUCUGUCCAAAAGAAUGACCCCGUGUGUAAUAGUACACUUUAAAUUACUGAGCGCUACCAAAUGCCCGCUUUGCUAGUGUUGCCAUUCUCGACAUUCAAGCCCCUUAAGGUCAGAGCGUGUGCUUUAGAAAGUGUGCAGCACCGUGCAGACUGAUUGUCUAUCUGAGCCACUUCUCUUGCAGUGUCUCACAAGGCAGCAGGAAUGGGGGAAAGACUCCGCAACCAGAAAGUCAAGAGACGAGAACUCUAGCCUUGGCUCUGCCACUAACUAACUGCUCUGAGAUAAUGGGCAGGUAAUUUAACCAUCCUCUCUUCCAAUUUCUUAAGCUGUAAAGAAAAGGACUCGGUAGUGACAGUGUUCAGACAGUGUCGGCUGUCUGAAACACCUGGAGGGAUUCUUGGAAAACGCACGAAGACCCCACCCUUUUGGGAAUUCUGAUCUGGGGUGAGGCCGAUGGAAAUGGUUUUUUUGUGUUUUUUUAAACUCCAGGAGAUUUUGUUGUGCAUCCCUGGCUAAGACUCACUGGACUAAGUUUAAUAAUAGCAGUAGUUGACACUUAUGGAGUGCUCAUUAUGUGCUAGGCACUCAAGCUAAGUAGCUCACAUACAUUAUCUCAUUUCAUCCUUACAACAACCCUGAGGUAGUCACUACUAUUAUCCCUGUUUUCCAAUGAGGAAACUAAGGCCCAGGAAGGUUAAAUGCCUCAACUUCUAGACUGGCUUUAGAGUCUGAACUCCUAAUUGCUGUCCAUACCGUGUCCUUUAAACUCAAAAGCCCCAUGACUUUAGUUAAAUAUGGGCUAUGCCUUAGCAAAGUCAGCAUGUUUUAUUAACUGGGCACUAUUUUACUAGCCAACUUUCAACUGAAUUGUAAGAAAAUUCUGAUUUAAACCCCAAAAUGCAGCUGGGAAAGGGUCUCCACUAAUGACCUCAAUGCACAGAGGUUAUCUCAAAAAACACUGAAUGAAUUUCUUAGGGCCAAUUUUUUUUAAGGCUGUAUCUCUGAAAAUCACAAUGUCAGUCUGUAGGAAAAUAUACACAUUCUAAUUUUACACAAAGCCUUUUAAGAAAAUAUUUCAUGUAAAGUACAAUCAAGAUGUAUUCUACAAAAAACACUGCAUUUUAAGGUAGGAAAUCUAACCUGAAAUCAUAGAUCUGUACAUGAAAGGAUUCAGCCAUGGCAGUCCAAAGGUCUGCAUACAUAUAACCACUUUAGAAAGUUUCCAACACCUUGUAGAAGGGCUUUUGCUCCUGCUACCUGCUUUGCUUUUAAACUAGAUAGAAUUAAACUUCUAGAAGCAGUUUUCUCUGCUUUGAAUUCAAACUUUUAAAUUUACAUAAGGUUAUUUUUUUCACUCUGGUCCUUUUCAAGUAGAAAAAGGAAAAGCCUAAGUUCUACUUUUACAGUAAGUUGACAGUGCCUCUUUAACCUGAGCCCUGAGCCCGCACCUCCUGAAGUUACCCG
rnacentral:lncRNA from 1 species